AUUGAACGCUGGCGGCAUGCCUUACACAUGCAAGUCGAACGGCAGCACGGGAGCAAUCCUGGUGGCGAGUGGCGAACGGGUGAGUAAAGCAUCGGAACGUGCCCAGUCGUGGGGGAUAACGCAGCGAAAGCUACGCUAAUACCGCAUACGAUCUGUGGAUGAAAGCGGGGGACCGUAAGGCCUCGCGCGAUUGGAGCGGCCGAGGUCAGAUUAGGUAGUUGGUGGGGUAAAGGCUCACCAAGCCGACGAUCUGUAGCUGGUCUGAGAGGACGACCAGCCACACUGGGACUGAGACACGGCCCAGACUCCUACGGGAGGCAGCAGUGGGGAAUUUUGGACAAUGGGCGCAAGCCUGAUCCAGCAAUGCCGCGUGCAGGAUGAAGGCCUUCGGGUUGUAAACUGCUUUUGUACGGAGCGAAAAGGCUUCCACUAAUACUGGGGGCUCAUGACGGUACCGUAAGAAUAAGCACCGGCUAACUACGUGCCAGCCGCCGCCGUAACAC
rnacentral:rRNA from 1 species